rnacentral:rRNA from 1 species
UACGUAGGGUGCGAGCGUUAAUCGGAAUUACUGGGCGUAAAGCGUGCGUAGGCGGUUCGUUAUGUCUGCUGUGAAAGCCCCGGGCUCAACCUGGGAACGGCGCUUGGGACGGCGAGGCUGGAGUUCGGGAGAGGAGAGUGGAAUUCCCAGUGUAGAGGUGAAAUUCGUAGAUAUUCGCAAGAACACCAGUGGCGAAGGCGGCUCACUGGCCCGAUACUGACGCUGAGGUGCGAAAGCGUGGGGAGCAAACAGG